rnacentral:miRNA from 7 species
CUUUUUGCGGUCUGGGCUUUC